rnacentral:rRNA from 1 species
AUUGAACGCUGGCGGCAGGCCCAACACAUGCAAGUCGAGCGGAUGAAGGGAGCUUGCUCCUGGAUUCAGCGGCGGACGGGUGAGUAAUGCCUAGGAAUCUGCCUGGUAGUGGGGGAUAACGUCCGGAAACGGGCGCUAAUACCGCAUACGUCCUGAGGGAGAAAGUGGGGGAUCUUCGGACCUCACGCUAUCAGAUGAGCCUAGGUCGGAUUAGCUAGUUGGUGGGGUAAAGGCCUACCAAGGCGACGAUCCGUAACUGGUCUGAGAGGACGAUCAGUCACACUGGAACUGAGACACGGUCCAGACUCCUACGGGAGGCAGCAGUGGGGAAUAUUGGACAAUGGGCGAAAGCCUGAUCCAGCCAUGCCGCGUGUGUGAAGAAGGUCUUCGGAUUGUAAAGCACUUUAAGUCGGGAGGAAGGGCAGUAAGUUAAUACCUUGCUGUUUUGACGUUACCAACAGAAUAAGCACCGGCUAACUUCGUG